ACCUGGGUGGUUCAGUUGGUUAAAUGUCUGACUUCAGCUCAGGUCAUAAUCUCACGGAUCAUGGGUUUGAGCCCCGUUUCGGGCU
rnacentral:tRNA from 1 species